UACCAGCACCUCGAGUAGUCGGGACGAUUAUUGGGCCUAAAGCAUCCGUAGCCGGUCUAAAAAGUCCUCCGUUAAAUCCAACGGCUCAACCGUUGGGCUGCGAGGGAUACUGUUAGACUAGGGGGCGGGAGAGGCGAGGGGUAUUCCCAGGGUAGGGGUAAAAUCCACUGAUCCUGGGAGGACGACCAGUGGCGAAGGCGCCUCGCUAGAACGCGCCCGACGGUGAGGGAUGAAAGCUAGGGGAGCGAACCGG
rnacentral:rRNA from 1 species